UACAGAGGUCUCAAGCGUUGUUCGGAUUCAUUGGGCGUAAAGGGUGUGUAGGUGGCGCGCUAAGUCGGGUGUGAAAUUUCGGAGCUUAACUCCGAAACUGCAUUCGAUACUGGCGUGCUUGAGGACUGGAGAGGAGACUGGAAUUCAUGGUGUAGCAGUGAAAUGCGUAGAGAUCAUGAGGAAGACCAGUGGCGAAGGCGGGUCUCUGGACAGUUCCUGACGCUGAGGCACGGAAGGCCAGGGGGAGCAAACGGG
rnacentral:rRNA from 1 species